rnacentral:rRNA from 1 species
AGAGUUUGAUCAUGGCUCAGAAUCAACGCUGGCGGCGCGCUUAACACAUGCAAGUCGCACGAGAAAGGGAGCAAUCCUAAGUAAAGUGGCGCACGGGUGAGUAACACGUGGAUCAUCUACCUUUUAGUGGGGAAUACCUCUGGGAAACCGGAGACAAUACCGCAUAAGCCCGCAAGGGGAAAGCAGCAAUGCGCUGAAAGAGGAGUCCGCGGCCGAUUAGCUAGUUGGCGGGGUAAUGGCCCACCAAGGCGAAGAUCGGUAGCCGGCCUGAGAGGGCACACGGCCACACUGGCACUGAAACACGGGCCAGACUCCUACGGGAGGCAGCAGUGGGGAAUCUUGCACAAUGGACGAAAGUCUGAUGCAGCGACGCCGCGUGAGCGAUGAAGCCCUUCGGGGUGUAAAGCUCUUUCGACGGGAACGAUAAUGACGGUACCCGGAGAAGAAGCUGCGGCUAACUACGUGCCAGCAGCCGCGGUAAUACGUAGGCAGCGAGCGUUGUUCGGAAUUACUGGGCGUAAAGAGUGUGUAGGCGGUGUUCCCAGUCUGUUGUGAAAUCUCCCGGCUUAACUGGGAGGGUGCAGCGGAAACUAGAAUGCUAGAGGGUGGGAGAGGUAAGCGGAAUUCCUGGUGUAGCGGUGAAAUGCGUAGAUAUCAGGAGGAACACCUGUGGUGUAGACAGCUUACUGGACCACUUCUGACGCUGAGACACGAAAGCGUGGGUAGCAAACAGGAUUAGAUACCCUGGUAGUCCACGCCCUAAACG